CCUAUGAAACUAAUACUCACACUACUCUACAGCCACCCCACAACCCCCGACAAACCACCACGAAACUAGAAGACCCGUUUGAACCUGGUUAGACCAAAAACAGCCUUCCCCUCUACUAUAGAUUCACUACUUUUUGUUGCCUAUCCAUUAGAAGCAUCGAAACCCACCAUCACCGUCACCCUCAUUAUUCCGAAGAAGCUGAAAACGGACGCAGAACCAUGAUCACGUCAACCGAAUCCAUUCUUUCAUCACCAUCCGACCAUUUCUAAACCAUCGCAGUUGACGAUAUUUCUCCGGAAACUCUUCAAUUAAUCCGAUCUGCUAUUUAUCUCAAAUUAAGGGAUUAUGACAUAAUUCACUAUUUUGGAUUUGUGGUCAUCGCUUUGGAAAGUUUAAGGUUCACAGGUUACUUCGGGCGGGGUAAAGAGAGAAGAAUAAAGCCUAGGACUAAAUUUGAAGAUGUUAGUUAAUCAAGUCGAAUGUGUUCGCUUGGACAUUAACCUUAAGUAUAGUUAUCGUGUGGUUGUAUCCUUGUCAAAUAAAUAAAUGGAAUUAUGACUUUUGUUUAUGAUACCGAUGUUAUGGUGACACGUCAGCCCUUUCGGGUUGGGGUGUUACAGCUAUGGUAUCAGAGCAAAGGCUCUUUCCUGUAGAAAACUUGAAGAUAGUAAUUAAAACCUGUGAGGAAUGGGUAGAUAUUUAUGAUAGUAUUCAACUUGGUCUU